rnacentral:lncRNA from 1 species
GGUUGGGGGUCACGUCGGGGGCAUCAGCAGCGUGAUGGGCAGGAAUGGCAAGGAUCAGAGGUCAUGGGGUCACGAGGUCAAAGGUCACGGGGUCAUGAGGCCAAAAGGUCAUGGGGUCACGAGGUCAAAGGUCACGGGGGUCUGAGGGUUGGGGGUCCCACUUAUGGCUCCCACUUUGGAGUCAUUGGGUUCCCACUUAUGGGACCCACUUGGGGGUCACUGGGGUUCCCACUUUGGGGUCCCACUUAUGGGUCCCACUUUGGGGUCCCAAUUAUGGAUCUCACUUCUGGGUCCCACUUCUGGGUCCCACUUAUGGGUCGCCCUUUUGGGGUCCCACUUACGGGUCGUCCUUUGGGGUCGCACUUAUGGGUCCCACUUCUGGGUCCCACUUUGGAGUCAUUGGGUUCCCACUUUGGGGUCCCACUUCUGGGUCGCCCUUUGGGGUCCCACUUAUGGGUCCCACUUACGGGUCGCCCUUUUGGGGUCACCCUUUGGGGUCCCACUUCUGGGCCGCCCUUUGGGGUCCCACUUACGGGCUGCCCUUUUGGGGUCGCCCUUUGGGGUCCCACUUACGGGUUGCCCUUUUGGGGCCUCCCUUUGGGGUCCCACUUACGGGUUGCCCUUUUGGGGUCCCACUUACGGGCUGCCCUUUUGGGGUCUCCCUUUGGGGUCCCACUUACGGGCCGCCCUUUUGGGGUCCCACUUACGGGCCGCCCUUUUGGGGUCGCCCUUUGGGGUCGCACUUCUGGGCCACCCUUUGGGGUCCCACUUACGGGUCGCCCUUUUGGGGUCACCCUUUGGGGUCCCACUUUUGGGCCGCCCUUUGGGGUCCCACUUACGGGUCGUCCUUUGGGGUCCCACUUACGGGCCGCCCUUUUGGGGCCUCCCUUUGGGGUCCCACUUACGGGCCGCCCUUUGGGGUCGCCCUUUGGGGUCGCACUUACGGGUCGCCCUUUUGGGGUCGCCCUUUGGGUUCCCACUUACGGGUCGCCCUUUUGGGGUCGCCCUUUGGGUUCCCACUUACGGGUCACCCUUUUGGGGUCGCACUUAUGUGUCCCACUUAUGGGCCACCCUUUUGGGGUCGCCCUUUGGGGUCCCACUUAAGGGCUGCCCUUUUGGGGUCUCCCUUUUGGGGUCCCACUUCUGGGCCGCCCUUUGGGGUCCCACUUACGGGCCGCCCUUUGGGGUCUCCCUUUGGGGUCCCACUUAUGGGCCACCCUUUUGGGGCCUCCCUUUGGGGUCCCACUUACGGGUCGCCCUUUUGGGGUCGCCCUUUGGGGUCCCACUUACGG